GUGCUAGGAACCAAACCUAGGUACUCUUCAAGAGCAACUGGUGCUCCCAACCACUGAGCAAUCUCUUCAGUUUCCUAGUGAAAAGUCCAAAGAGCAAAAUAAAAUGUAACCCCGAGAGUAACUUAGCAUGUAACCAGAUCAGGAGAGUAAUAACUGAUCACUUGUAACAUACUCUCUUGGUUACAAGCAUAUCAUGAGUUGUAUUCAGACUGAAGCACAGACCCAUUGGGUUUGACCCACUGAGGCCACUUCGCAAUGUGCUGUUCAUACCCACCGAGGGUACAGUAGUACUCAAGAGUUCCAGUGAAGCUGCCAUGCAUUGCAUAAAUGAAGCUCAAUCCAGUGAUACUGCAGUGCACUGCACAGAUGAAGCUCAAUCCAGUGAUGCUGCAGUGCACUGCAUAGAUGAAGCUCAAUCCAGUGAUGCUGCAGUGCACUGCACAGAUGAAGCUCAAUCCAGUGAAUGCUGUAGUGCACUGCACAGAUGAAGCUAUUUGAGGACAAGUAUAUCAAGGAACAUCACUUUCCUUCUCAGCUUUCAGCCCCAAUCAGGGAGCACCACCCCCCAGAUGUGCUUUGCAUCUGCAUAGGAAUGCCAUUUGCAGUGGUUUGAAUAUGCUUGGCCCAGGAAGUGGCAUUAUUUGGAGAUGUGGCAUAGAUAUUGGAGUAUGUGUCUCACUGUGGGUGUGGACUUUGAGACCCUUCUCCUACUGCCCAUGAGACAGUCUUCUGUUUGCCUUCAGAUCAAGAUGUAGAACUCUUAGCUCCUCCUGGGCCAUGCUGGCCUGGACACUGCCAUGCUCCCUCCUUGAUGAUAUUUGACUGAAACUCUGAACCUGUAAGCCCGCCCCAAUUAAAUGCUGUCCUUAUAA
ensembl:lincRNA Gm12027 predicted gene 12027